rnacentral:rRNA from 1 species
GUUGUUCGGAAUCACUGGGCUUAAAGGGCGCGUAGGCGGCCACGCCGGUCUGGGGUGAAAUCUUUCGGCUCAACCGGAAAAUUGCCUGGGAUACUGCGUGGCUCGAGGGAGGUAGGGGCGGUCGGAACUUCCAGUGGAGCGGUGAAAUGCGUUGAUAUUGGAAGGAACGCCGGUGGCGAAAGCGGACCGCUGGAUCUCAUCUGACGCUGAGGCGUGAAAGCUAGGGUAGCGAACGGG